rnacentral:rRNA from 1 species
UACAGAGGUCUCAAGCGUUGUUCGGAUUCAUUGGGCGUAAAGGGUGCGUAGGCGGCGCCGUAAGUCGGGUGUGAAAUUUCGGAGCUUAACUCCGAAACUGCAUUCGAUACUGCGGUGCUUGAGGACUGGAGAGGAGACUGGAAUUCCUGGUGUAGCGGUGAAAUGCGCAGAUAUCAGGAGGAACACCGGUGGCGAAGGCGGGUCUCUGGGCCGAAAUUGGACGCUGAGGAGCGAAAGCGUGGGGAGCAAACAGG